rnacentral:pre_miRNA from 1 species
CAACUACUCCCUCCAUUCGGAAUUACUUGUCUUGAAAAUAAAUGUAUCUAGAACUAAAAUACGUCUAGAUACAUCCAUUUCUGCGACAAGUAAUUCCGAACGGAGGGAGUAUAUA